rnacentral:lncRNA from 1 species
UUAGCGCUAGGAAAAUACUUCCAUUAAUCCUACAAAAACAGAUGCCAACAAUAACGACUUGUAAGGUUUAAAUGUGUUUUAUGAAUUUGUUUCAAUCUGAAUCAUCAAUUUCUUCGUCUGUUGGAACUUUUAAGAUUUUUUUCUCAGUACCGUUUUGUUUUUUACAAAGGGACAUAACACCAUUACUAACCGUGUAUUAAAUAAACCCCGCCCCCUUCUUACCUAAUAAGGAAUAUAAAGGGACGUAACUCCACUACUAACCGUGUAUGAGAUAAACCCCGCCUCCCUACUAACCUAAUAUCAAAUAUACACGGUUUGCACGCGGACGCUUUUAACCAAUCAUAUUCCUGGAAAUGUAUAGGAGGUAAGAUAAAAAU